AUGUCUGGCAGCGCAAACGUUGCCCAGCUGGGCAUACGACAGUGCGGACCAGCUUCCGGCAGCACUACCAUCUCCGCGAGGUGGGGCCUUUGGGAGUUGAUUCAAAGAGAACCCUUCUCAAGUUUGAGGUCAUGCAGUGUCACCAACGGUGUUGCAGAACGGGCCCAUCUACCACCGCCAUCAGUGGCCUAUGUACAUACCACGCCAGGUCUGCCUUCAGGCUGGGAAGAAAGAAAAGAUGCUAAGGGGCACACGUACUAUGUUAAUCGUAACAAUCGAACCACAACUUGGACUCCACCUGUCAUGCAACUUGCAAAGAUGGUGCAUCCAGAUCAGCCACAAACAGUAACAACCAUCUAGUCAAGCCUCAGCUCGCCGGCCUCGCAGCCUCAGCUUGCCAACAGUAACUUUAUCUGCCUCGCUGGAGGGUGCCAAGCACUCACCCUUACGUCAGGCUGUGAAAGACACCCUUUCCAACCCACAGUCCCCACAGCCAUCACCUUACAACUCCCCCAAACCACAACACAAAGUCACACAGAGCUUCUUGCCACCUGGCUGGGAAAUGAGGACAGCGCCAAACAGCCAGCCCUUUUUCAUUGAUCAUAACACAAAGACUACAACCUGGGAAGAUCCGGAAGAUCCGCAUUUGAAAUUUCCGGGAUAUAUGUGGUCAAAGACACCUUUAAACCCCAAUGACCCUGGCCCCCUUCCUCCUGGCUGGGAAGAAAGAAUUCACUUGGAUAGCUGAACGUUUUAUAUUGAUCAUAACAACAAAAUUACUCAGUGGGAAGACCCAAGACUACAGAACCCAGCUAUUACUGGUCUGGCUGUUCCUUACUCCAGAGAAUUUAAGCAGAAAUAUGACACCUCAGGAAGAAAUUAAAGAAACCUGCUGAUAUUCCCAAUAGGUUUGAAAUGAAACUUCACAGAAACAACAUAUUUGAAGGGUCCUAUCAGAGAAUUAUGUCGGUGAAAAGACCAGAUGUCCUAAAAGCUAGACUAUGGAUUGAGUUUGAAUCAGAGAAAGGUCUUGACUAUGGGGGUGUGACUAGAGAAUGGUUCUUCUUACUGUCCAAAGAGAUGUUCAACCCCUACUAUGGCCUCUUUGAGUACUCUGCAAUGGACAACUACACCCUUCAGAUCAAUCCUGAUUCAUGCCUUUGUAAUGAAGAUCGUUUGUCCUCCUUCACUUUCACUGGAAGAUUUGCUGGGCUGGCGGUAUUUCACGGGAAACUCUUAGAUGGUUUCUUCAUUAGACAUUUUACAAGACGGUUUUGGGAAAGCAGAUAACCCUGAAUGAUGUGGAAUCUGUGGAUAAUGAAUAUUACAACUCUUUGAAAUGGAUCCUGGAGAAUGAUCCUACUGAGCUGGACCUCAUGUUCUGUAUGGAUGAAGAAAACUUUGGACAGACGUAUCAAGUGGAUUUGAAGCCCAACGGGUCAGAAAUAAUGGUCACAAAUGAAAACAAAAGGGAAUAUAUCGACUUAGUCAUCCAAUGGAGAUUUGUGAAUAGGGUCCAGAAGCAGAUGAACGCCUUCUUGGAGGGAUUCACAGAACUGCUUCCUGUUGAUUUGAUUAAAAUUUUUGAUGAAAAUGAGCUGGAGUUGCUGAUGUGCGGCCUUGGUGUUGUGGACGUGAAUGACUGGAGACAGCAUUCUAUGUACAAGAACGGCUACUGCCCGAAGCACCCCGUCAUUCAGUGGCUCUGGAAGGCUGUGCUGCUCAUGGACGCCGAAAAGCGGAUCUGGUUACUGCAGUUUGUCACGGGGACAUCACGAGUACCUAUGAAUGGAUUUGCCGAACUUUAUGGUUCCAAUGGUCCUCAGCUGUUUACAAUAGGGCAAUGGGGCAGUCCUGAGAAACUGCCCAGAGCUUACACAUGCUUUAACAGCCUUGACUUACCUCCAUAUGAACCCUUUGAAGACUUACGAGAGAAACUUCUCAUGGCCGUGGAAAAUGCUCAAGGAUUUGAAGGGGUAGAUUAAGCACCCUCUACCUCGGGGGUGGUUGUUCUUCAAGCAAGUUCUGCUUGCACUUUUGCAUUUGCCUAACAGACUUUUGCAGAGGCGGUGGCAGAGAGCAGCUACAGGCAUGGCCCCUGGAGCCAAGCCUUCACCAUGCACUCCUCCAAGUUUGGAUGCAGGAACCGGUCCCAGCUUGAGUUCCUGCAUUUCCCACCAUAAAUUACCAACUGGUUGACGUGUACACUAAUUAUAUUUCAGGAGGACUUAUGCUAUUUAUGUUGUGCCUCUGCAGGCAAAGCCCUUAAUAAAUAUUUUUCAUCCUUUCUAAUGACAA